rnacentral:rRNA from 1 species
GUUUGACCUCGAAUCAGGUAGGACUACCCGCUGAACUUAA